rnacentral:rRNA from 1 species
UACGUAGGUGGCGAGCGUUGUCCGGAUUUACUGGGCGUAAAGGGAGCGUAGGCGGACUUUUAAGUGAGAUGUGAAAUACCCGGGCUCAACUUGGGUGCUGCAUUUCAAACUGGAAGUCUAGAGUGCAGGAGAGGAGAAUGGAAUUCCUAGCGUAGCGGUGAAAUGCGUAGAGAUUAGGAAGAACACCAGUGGCGAAGGCGAUUCUCUGGACUGUAACUGACGCUGAGGCUCGAAAGCGUGGGGAGCAAACAGGAUUAGAUA